UUACCCUGUGGGGAAAGAGGACGGGUAGGAGAGGAGGAAAGAGCAUUCGUAUGCAGGGUGUGAAAGCUGCGCUGCAGGGGUGAUGGUUUUCUCUGGUAGUGGCACAUCAUUCCUAAAUCCUUACCAACAUCUCCAGGAAACUGCUAAAGGAGUCCUCUGCUGGCAGGCCUUUGUGUUACCAGGGUUGUUUCACAUACUGUAGUUUCUCCCUUCAAAUGAAAGUUCAAAGCUACCUGCCAGUUACGUGGCACCGAUUUAGUGUUGGAUAAUGGGCAGGAGUAUAACAGCCCUGCUUUUUUCACACCACUGUGUCUUAACUGAUCUGCUCUCUGAAAAUACAAUUAGUUUUCCAGGCAUCAGUAUCUAUGGGAAGCAAGUUUCAGAGAGAAAGCACAGCUGCAGCUGAAACUCAUUUUUACCUCACCUACACGAACACACACCUAAUAUGCCUCAGCCCUUGCCCAGUGAAGAAGCCAAGCACUGUGGGAUUUCUCCUACGGACCACACGCAGACACCACCACUCGGAACCUGCAUGUGUGGGCUGAACGUUUCAAGAGAAAUUUGUCAAAGCUACCCCCCACACCAACUGGUAUGCUUCAUUAAGGAAGCAAAGCCAAAAAAUCGCUGGUCUUUGGCUUCCCCAACCACAAUGAAAAAGAGUCACUGUUUCCAUGGAGCCUGAGGUCCCUGCUUAGUCCUCUCCUGAUGACCAGACCUGUGGUGUCCAGCUCUGUUCCCUGGGAUCACACCUGUCUCGAUGCUAAGCAGAAAGCAGUGCAAUUUUGGGGCAGGGCUCUUGGCUCUGAAGAGCGUGGCCCAGGAGGAGUGGAAGCAAUACCCCGAUGCUGUGUGUGCGACCUCUCUAUCGGAGCUUGCAGCCACCGGGUCACUUUCCCGAAGGGAGCCUCUGUCUGGACACGGUGCCUGGGGACCUUUGGACAGCAGGGAACAGCCGGGAAUUGGAAGAAGGUGGUUCCUGUUGUCCUGGCGUUCACUGGAGACUGAGGUGAGGUUUUGCAGCUGUCCCUGGGCUGGGCUGGGAAGGGUUCGCUUUUGUGCUGGGGUACUGGCAGCUGCUAACUCUCUGUUCCCUGGGGCCUUGGCACCUAAAUCCACUCCCCCCGGCGCAGAAAAUGAAGGACACAUUGUCACCAGGUAGAGAAGAGAUUCUGCACACACGUUCAGACACCGAGAGGUUAAUGUUGCCGCAGAAGUAGGUGGAUGGGUGCACGUAGGGUACAUAUGUCUAAGCUGUUACCGGGGUAGCUCAGGUCUCAGCAGAGGCACAAGUGGCCGCAAAGUCUGGGGAAGUUUAGACAUGACCUAUACAAAAAGCUGACAGGCACCAAGUUUCAUUGUAUUUGCAAAUCCUUUUGAUAGCCUUUAUAUUUUAAAUGCAGAAUAGUUACUGCCUGAGUUUUUAAAUGCCCCCUGGUAGUGCAAGAAUGCAAGGGAAAAACCUUUUAUCAAAUUCUUUGAAAGAAGCGUUGUUCUUAGCUGUUCAUAUUACUUUUUUUGAAGCCUGUAAUAUACUCUGAUCCUACUGACUGCACACUCGCAGUCACACAACUCAGGGGAAAAUUACCCCUAACUGAAAUGAAACUGGGAUCCUUGGACAUCCCUGUACUGGGAUUUGGGGUUUGUUGCUGGCUCUUCAUUAGCGACUCCCUCCUGGACUGAUGGAGGAUGGAGGAACUCGGGCAUGGCAGAGUCAGGCAAGGAGCAUAGUUUUAACUGUGACAUUCUUAAAAAUUUGAAAUAAUAAGAAAAGAAAAAGACCUGCAGGUUUUGUGGCACUGAAAGCUUUCCUGAGCUUGUGCCAGUUUCUCUGAAUUUGUCUUUUUAAAAAAAACAAUUAAAAAGCAAUAGUUCUGUAAAACUGACAAGUGAAACCUCAUUUAAAGGCAUUGCAAUUUGUUGUUUUUGAGAAGUGUCCAUUAUUAAUAUUUUUACAUUAACUUUUUUUGUCAACUGCUUGCAUUCCAAAUGAAAGAUUUCAAAUUAAACCAAGCAUUAAAUUUCAGUAAAACCAAAACUCUGAAAAGUCUAAAUCUAUUCAUGUUUUCCUGACAGUAGCACACUGUAGUCCAAAUUAAUGCAGAAAUGUGUUGUGCUGAGCUCUAGCUAGCUCCUUUUGAAGACAAUGCAUGCCCUAAGAAAACGUACAGGCUAAUUUAGUUUACAACUAGGAGAUUUAACAGGUUGGAGUGGAUAUUUAAGGGAGGUCAGAGUAUCUGAGAAACAUGCAAUUAUAGACUUACUUGCUUGGUCAAAAAUAAUGAGUUUCAAGCUAAACUCGGAGUGGUAUAGAAAAUGCUUUUCCCAUUCUCCAAACGUUUUCACAGUUUCAGAUAUUUUUCCCAUUUCUGAUCUGGAGCAAGUCUGCAACUGCUCAUGAGACAGAAAAGAAAAAGAAAAAAAGAGCCGACUCCAAUUCACGUUCAAGGCCUUUUUCUGCCUUUUAUCAAGGUGCCUGAUCUAACCGCUGGGUUAUUGGCAAUUUUGUGUAAGUGAGCACUCAGCUGCCUCUUUCAUUUUCUCCUUUUUCCACUUGUUGAUUGCCAGCACUCCAAAUGAAACAUUUCAAACUAUAUUUCUUCCUUCAUAUGCAAGUAGAAGCUCCCAGAAAACUUCUCAGUUAACAGCUUUUGUACAGCGAGUUUGCAUCCUUGAAGGUUGUGAUAAUGUUUGCAGAGGCAACCCAGAAAACACAAAUAUUUCUGGUUAUUAGUGAACACAAUCAACUUUUCUAGCGGUCUCCUAUCCCUCCCACCUUUGGGUCUGCUCCCAGUGGGCUCAGACAGGCAGAAAGUUCUGCACCUUUGCAUCUCAUUCUCCACUACUUCCUUUGACUUCUGUCUGCAAAAUUCUGAUGACCCCGUGGCUGUGCCACAGCUGUGGGGUACGAGCGAUGCCAAUUGCUUUAGUGCAGAAGAGCAAAGCUUCCAGCCUUAGGAGAGCUGUGAACUAUGUUUCUGAGCAGCUCAACAGCAGCACAGCCCUUAGGUUGUCCACUGAGUAAAGAUCGUCUGCCACAAAUUGCAUCUUUGAGGUAGCCUGUGUAGGACAUACGCACAAGGAGAUGUGAGGGCCAGGAAUUAGAACCUGGAUAAUGGCCAGAAAUAGAGACUCCUUCAAUCACAACAAAGAAACCUUGACAUUAUGUCUCUGCUUUAAUCCGUGUUCAGACCAGAUCCUGAAGUCUCAAUGUGAAAAUAGUGGGGCAGGAGAUCUCAGAAAUAAAAUACUGCAAAGGAGUUGAAGUGCAAAGAAUUGUCUCCAGAUCCAUCACAGGCCUUGCAAGAGGAAGCUGGUAAAGUGAAGCUGGUAAAAGGUUUCCAAGAAGGAAGGCAAACAGGAUGAAGAGCUCCUGCUGUUUCUCUGUGGGUUUCUCAGUUCUUCCCGUUUGAGAUGAGCAAGAUUUCCCAGCAAUAAGGUUUAAGGUUAUUGCAUAUCAUCCUUCUGCUGCAUCUGAUCGACCUGCAACCCAGAGGAGACCAGCACAUUAUCGAAGAGCUGCUGAGACAAUGUCUAGAGAAGCAGCCUUGGAUCUCAUGUCAGAGUGAACCAGGGGAUGAAGAAGGCAUCACCAGGAAGGUCCUCAGGCACCUAGUCUGAAAGGAUGUUCUGCUCUGAUUUUGGGUAUUAUGAACAUAAAUGUGACAACGACUGGUGACGAAAAACAUGGGAUCCACACAGCAACGAAGAUGAAUAACAGAAGGAGUUCAGAAAGCACAAGAACCCAAGCACAGGCGCAUGGGAAGAAGAGUGGAUGUCCCAGCAAGCCUCAGGUGCAGAAUCGCCCUUCGAUCCACAAAGGCUCAGAAAUGCGGAUUUCUUUCAACCAUGUCAGACAGCUGGUGUGCCUGGAGUGUGAUAAUUCUGUUACACAGAGCUAAUUGGAGCUGUGUGUCUGGAAGUGCCUGGUCCCUGGAACAUUCCCAUGAUGCUUGAACCCAGCUGGAAGGCUACACGCCAUGUGAGGGAAGAGGAAGCCUCAGAGCUGUCAGAAGAACUGACUUAAGACAGAUCACUGAGGAUCUAAUUGCCUCCAAAAUACUCAAGCCUGUACUGGAAGCCAAAGGGAGAAGCACUGCUGAAAAUCAAAGCCUUUUUGUUUAGACUCGGGCGUUCUGAAAUCCUUGCUUGUAAAACUCCGUGUGUGCCUCCUGACUUCAAACAAGAAGCGCCGGCGAGGCAGGCCAGCUCCAGAGGAGCACGACAGCCCAAACCGCUCAACCAUUAAUUACGCUGACAAUAAGAAGCCCAAGAAGCUGAACGGGGCUGUUCGUGCCUAACGAGGGAGCUGCAGGGACUCUGAGGCGCUGGGAAGGUGCGUGGCCUUGCCGGGGAGGUGGCUGUGACGCUGCUGCCGGGGUGCAGCUCAGCAAAUGUUCCCAUCGCCUGGGCCGGCCGCGCUGCGCCAUUGCCGGGUGCCGCGCUGUCGACGGUAUGAAAGCGAGCUCUUUGAAGAUCUCUUGGUAACACUUCACCAAGUGUCACUCGUAAUUGCUUCCUUGCCUACGAAGUAGUUGCUUUGUGCAGUUCUCGUCUCAAACAUUGUAUCAAAGUGUUAUAAAGUGCUUUCAUUGCUAAUAAACACUAACUAUGGUGCUAUAAAAACUUGUCAAAAAGCUCCAUAGGGCAUGAAUCUCACUGAAUAAAUUAUAUGUGCCUUUAAUACAUUAAUGUAAACUGUUACUGUUUCUGAGCACUACCAGGCAGCUUACAGAUCAAUCAAUGAUAAAAUUAUUCAUACAUAACAUUAACGUAAGAUACUAUCAGUUUCUUGAUUUUUUUCUUUUCUUUGGUACAAAUACUUGAGUUUGCCUGUUUGGCUGUGCUCCACUUCAUGUAGCAAUGCUGCAUCCUUCCAUUCCUUCCAAAGCGACAAAUCCAUAUCUUAUUUCCUUCACUUUUUUUAAAAAAAUUAGUGUAUUACUGUGGUUUGCACCUAAGCGGCUGUUACGUGUCUCUGCAGAGGUGGCUUCACUCUGGUGGCGGAAAAAGUGCUGCCAGGACUCAGACCUUUAGAGACUUUGAGGCUAAAGGAAUUUCUUUACUUCAUGUUGAGAGAGGUAAGGAUUUCAGAGCAAUAUAAUGCUCCUAUGAGGGUGUCGCAUUAUAUGGUGUGUGACAUCAUGCCUAGGCAAAGCACAAAAAUGGAGAAAAAAAAAUAUGAUGGGGAUGUACGAGGAUGUGAACUACCUCUUUGUUUUUCCUGUCAUACAAGUGGAUGGACGUGAAGAUAAGCUAAAUUCAGUCUAAUAUCCACAUAUUUGUGCUAGAUUAUUUGGAAAGUGGUCUGGAAAGGGUUGUUCUUUACAGCAGUGUUUCCCAAGCUAUUUUGGCCUGCUGCCCUCUUCCAGGAGAGUGUAAAAUGCAGGCUGAUGCCCUUGGAAAUGCUGAAUGCUUGGCUAAUGCUGUGGGCCAUGGAAGUACCUGCCCGUUUCCAGGUGUAGGAUAAUGCCCAGGUCAGUGACCAACGAUUCAGAGAUCCUUAGUAACACCGAAUCCUCCUGGGACUGAAUGAACUCCCUGACAAAAACUCUUACUAGCUCCAAGAGGAUCAACAACUGACCUGGAAGAGCAUCUUUCUGAACUGGAACAAAGUCGACGAUCUCAGAAGCAAAGGCACCCAGCUGCACUUGGACUCACAGCAGAGGCAGCAGCAGUUGCAGGUGGUCCCGACUGCCUGCAGGAGUCUCAGGGUGCGUUCCCACCGCGCAGGUGCAUUCUAUGUCAUUAUUUAAGGAUGCUGCUGCCACGAUAACUAACAAAUACUGGUUUAUA